rnacentral:rRNA from 1 species
CCCGCUGAACUUAAGCAUAUCAAUAAGCGGAGGAAAAGAAACCAACAGGGAUUGCCUCAGUAACGGCGAGUGAAGCGGCAACAGCUCAAAUUUGAAAUCUGCCUCUAUGCCGAGUUGUAAUUUGUAGAAGAUGCUUCGGGUGUGGCACUGGUCUAAGUUCCUUGGAACAGGACGUCAUAGAGGGUGAGAAUCCUGUAUGUGACUGGCGGCCUUUGCCCAUGUGAAGCUCUUUCGACGAGUCGAGUUGUUUGGAGAUGCAGCUCAAAAUGGGUGGUAUAUUUCAUCUAAAGCUAAAUAUAGGCCAGAGACCGAUAGCGCACAAGUAGAGUGAUCGAAAGAUGAAAAGCACUUUGGAAAGAGAGUUAAACAGUACGUGAAAUUGUUGAAAGGGAAGCGCUUGCAAUCAGACUUGCGCGCCGUCGAUCAUCCGAGGUUUUCCCCGGUGCACUCGGCGGUGCUCAGGCCAGCAUCGGUUUCGGUGGUUAGAUAAAGGCCUUGGGAUCUGUGGCUCCUCCGGGAGUGUUAUAGCCCUCGGUGCAAUGUAGCCUACUGGGACCGAGGACCGCGCUUCGGCUAGGAUGCUGGCGUAAUGGUUGUAAGCGACCCGUCUUGAAACACGG